CCUACGGGGGGCAGCAGUGGGGAAUAUUGCACAAUGGGGGGAACCCUGAUGCAGCGACGCCGCGUGAGUGAAGAAGUAUUUCGGUAUGUAAAGCUCUAUCAGCAGGGAAGAAAAUGACGGUACCUGACUAAGAAGCCCCGGCUAACUACGUGCCAGCAGCCGCGGUAAUACGUAGGGGGCAAGCGUUAUCCGGAUUUACUGGGUGUAAAGGGAGCGUAGGCGGCGACGCAAGUCAGAAGUGAAAGCCCGGGGCUCAACUCCGGGACUGCUUUUGAAACUGCGUUGCUAGAUUGCGGGAGAGGCAA
rnacentral:rRNA from 1 species